rnacentral:rRNA from 1 species
ACCCGCUGAACUUAAGCAUAUCAAUAAGCGGAGGAAAAGAAACCAACAGGGAUUGCCUCAGUAACGGCGAGUGAAGCGGCAACAGCUCAAAUUUGAAAUCUGGCCUCACGGUCCGAGUUGUAAUUUGUAGAGGAUGUUUUGGGUACCGCCGUGGUUUAAAUUUCUUGGAACAGAAUGUCAAAGAGGGUGAGAGUCCCGUCUUGGACCGCGGUAGGGCCUGUGUAAAACUCCUUCGACGAGUCGACUUGUUUGGGAAUGCAGGUCAAAAUGGGUGGUAAAUUUCAUCUAAAGCUAAAUAUCGGCCAGAGACCGAUAGCGCACAAGUAGAGUGAUCGAAAGAUGAAAAGCACUUUGAAAAGAGAGUUAAACAGUAUGUGAAAUUGUUGAAAGGGAAGCGCUGGCAACCAGACUCGUGCGCGGGGUUCCCCCUUGCUUCUGCUUGGGUUACUUCCCCGUGUCCGGGCCAUCAUCAGUUUCGGGGGCCGGUUAAAGGCCUUGGGAAUGUAUCUACUCCUUCGGGGGUAGACUUAUAGCCCAGGGUGUCAUGCGGCCAUUCGGGACUGAGGAACGCGCUUCGGCGAGGAUGAUGGCGUAAUGGUUGU